AGAAUGAACGCUAGCGAUAUGCUUAACACAUGCAAGUUGAACGUUGUUUUCGAAUCAGAAUGAGAACAAAGUAGCGAACGGGUGCGUAACACGUGGGAAUCUGCCGAACAGUUUGGGCCAAAUCCCGAAUGAAUAAAAGCUAAAAAGCGCUGUUUGAUGAGCCCACGUAGUAUUAGGUAGUUGGUUAGGUAAAAGCUGACCAAGCCUACGAUGCUUAGCUGGUCUUUUUCGGAUGAUCAGCCACACUGGGACUGAGACACGGCCCCAGACUCCUACGGGAGGCAGCAGUGGGGAAUCUUGGACAAUGGGCGAAAGCCUGAUCCGGCAAUAUGGCGUGAGUGAAGAAGGGCAACGCAGCUUGUAAAGCUCUUUCAUCGAGUGUGCGAUUGUGACAAGACUCGAAUAAGAGCCCCGGCUAACUCCGUGCCAGCAGCCGC
rnacentral:rRNA from 1 species